rnacentral:rRNA from 1 species
UACGGAGGGGGCUAGCGUUGUUCGGAAUGACUGGGCGUAAAGCGCGCGUAGGCGGGCUGGCAAGUCAGGGGCGAAAUCCCGGGGCUCAACCCUGGAAUUGCCUUUGAGACUCCCAGCCUUGAGUUCGAGAGAGGUGAGUGGAAUUCCGAGUGUAGAGGUGAAAUUCGUAGAUAUUCGGAGGAACACCAGUGGCGAAGGCGGCUCACUGGCUCGACACUGACGCUGAGGUGCGAAAGCGUGGGGAGCAAACAGG